rnacentral:rRNA from 1 species
GCGAAGAACCUUACCUACCCUUGACAUCCAGAGAAUCUGUGAGAGAUCGUAGAGUCCCUUCGGGAANUCUGAGACAGGUGCUGCAUGACUGUCGUCAGCUCGUGUCGUGAGAUGUUGGGUUAAGUCCUGUAACGAGCGCAACCCUUAUCCUUAGUUGCCACCGGGUGAGACCGGGACCUCUAGGGAGACUGCCGGUGAUAUACCGGAGGAAGGUGGGGAGAGGGUCAAGUCAUCAUGUCCCUUAUGGGUAGGGCUACACACGUGCUACAAUGUCCGGUACACAGGGGUGAGAACUGGCAACAGUCAGCCAAUCCCACAAANCCGGUCCUAGUCCGGAUUGGAGUCUGCAACUCGACUCCAUGAAGUGCGGAAUCGCUAGUAAUCGCGAAUCAGAAUGUCCCAGUGAAUACGUUCCCGGGUCUUGUACACACCG